rnacentral:rRNA from 1 species
AGAGUUUGAUCCUGGCUCAGGAUGAACGCUAGCGGCAGGCCUAAUACAUGCAAGUCGUACGGGAUUGAAGACUUCGGUUUUCAUGAGAGUGGCGCACGGGUGCGUAACACGUAUGCAACCUACCUUUAACUGGGGGAUAGCCUUUCGAAAGAGAGAUUAAUACCGCAUAAAACAGCAGCACUGCAUGGUGUCACUGUUAAAGCUUCGGUGGUUAAAGAUGGGCAUGCGUUGCAUUAGCUAGUUGGUAAGGUAACGGCUUACCAAGGCUACGAUGCAUAGGGGAUCUGAGAGGAUGAUCCCCCACACUGGUACUGAGACACGGACCAGACUCCUACGGGAGGCAGCAGUAAGGAAUAUUGGUCAAUGGGCGCAAGCCUGAACCAGCCAUGCCGCGUGCAGGAAGACGGCCCUAUGGGUUGUAAACUGCUUUUAUCGGGGAAUAAACCUCAUUACGUGUAAUGAGUUGAAGGUACCCGAAGAAUAAGGAUCGGCUAACUCCGUGCCAGCAGCCGCGGUAAUACGGAGGACCCAAGCGUUAUCCGGAUUUAUUGGGUUUAAAGGGUGCGUAGGCGGUUUAUUAAGUCAGUGGUGAAAGCCCGGAGCUCAACUUCGGAACUGCCAUUGAUACUGAUAGACUUGAGUACAGAUGAAGUGGGCGGAAUGUGACAAGUAGCGGUGAAAUGCUUAGAUAUGUCACAGAACACCGAUUGCGAAGGCAGCUCACUAAAGUGUAACUGACGCUGAGGCACGAAAGCGUGGGGAUCAAACAGGAUUAGAUACCCUGGUAGUCCACGCCCUAAACGAUGAUUACUCGCUGUUAGCGAUAUACAGUUAGCGGCUAAGCGAAAGCGUUAAGUAAUCCACCUGGGGAGUACGGUCGCAAGAUUGAAACUCAAAGGAAUUGACGG